rnacentral:rRNA from 1 species
UACGAAGGGGGCUAGCGUUGUUCGGAAUUACUGGGCGUAAAGCGCGCGCAGGCGGUCUUCCAAGUCAGUGGUGAAAGCCCGGAGCUCAACUCCGAAACUGCCAUUGAAACUGUUGGACUUGAGUACGAGAGAGGUGAGUGGAAUUCCCAGUGUAGAGGUGAAAUUCGUAGAUAUUGGGAAGAACACCGGUGGCGAAGGCGGCUCACUGGCUCGUAACUGACGCUCAGGCGCGACAGCGUGGGGAUCAAACAGG